rnacentral:tRNA from 1 species
CGGCGCGGUCGGCGACGGUCUCGCUGCCGUCGUACGCGGGCUGGUCGAUGCACGACGUGUUCGGCGGCGCGCCGUUCCCGGCGGUGCGCGCCGA